UAAGUUUUUUUNNNNNNCUCAGGAUGAACGCUGGCGGCGUGCCUAAUACAUGCAAGUCGAACGCUUUGUCUUUAAUUGAUCUGACGAGCUUGCUCUGAUGUGAUUUUAUCUGACAAAGAGUGGCGAACGGGUGAGUAACACGUGGGUAACCUACCUCUUAGCAGGGGAUAACAUUUGGAAACAAGUGCUAAUACCGUAUAAUACCAACAACCGCAUGGUUGUUGGUUGAAAGAUGGUUCUGCUAUCACUAAGAGAUGGACCCGCGGUGCAUUAGCUAGUUGGUAAGGUAAUGGCUUACCAAGGCAAUGAUGCAUAGCCGAGUUGAGAGACUGAUCGGCCACAAUGGGACUGAGACACGGCCCAUACUCCUACGGGAGGCAGCAGUAGGGAAUCUUCCACAAUGGGCGCAAGCCUGAUGGAGCAACGCCGCGUGUGUGAUGAAGGGUUUCGGCUCGUAAAACACUGUUAUAAGAGAAGAACGGCACUGAGAGUAACUGUUCAGUGUGUGACGGUAUCUUACCAGAAAGGAACGGCUAAAUACGUGCCAGCAGCCGCGGUAAUACGUAUGUUCCAAGCGUUAUCCGGAUUUAUUGGGCGUAAAGCGAGCGCAGACGGUUAUUUAAGUCUGAAGUGAAAGCCCUCAGCUCAACUGAGGAAUGGCUUUGGAAACUGGAUGACUUGAGUGCAGUAGAGGAAAGUGGAACUCCAUGUGUAGCGGUGAAAUGCGUAGAUAUAUGGAAGAACACCAGUGGCGAAGGCGGCUUUCUGGACUGUAACUGACGUGNGCUCG
rnacentral:rRNA from 1 species